UACGUAGGGGGCUAGCGUUGUCCGGAAUCAUUGGGCGUAAAGAGCGUGUAGGCGGUCCGGUAAGUCCGCUGUGAAAGUCGGGGGCUCAACCCUCGAAUGCCGGUGGAUACUGUCGGGCUAGAGUGUGGAAGAGGCGAGUGGAAUUCCUGGUGUAGCGGUGAAAUGCGCAGAUAUCAGGAGGAACACCUAUUGCGAAGGCAGCUCGCUGGGACGUAACUGACGCUGAGACGCGAAAGCGUGGGGAGCAAACAGG
rnacentral:rRNA from 1 species